UACGUAGGGUGCAAGCGUUGUCCGGAAUUAUUGGGCGUAAAGAGCUUGUAGGCGGUUUGUCGCGUCUGCUGUGAAAUUUCGGGGCUCAACCCCGAACUUGCAGUGGGUACGGGCAGACUAGAGUGUGGUAGGGGAGACUGGAAUUCCUGGUGUAGCGGUGAAAUGCGUAGAUAUCAAGAGGAACACCUGAGGUGAAGACGGGUUGCUGGGCCGACACUGACGCUGACAGCGCGAAAGCCAGGGGAGCAAACGGG
rnacentral:rRNA from 1 species